GAUGAACCCUGGCGGCGUGCUUAACACAUGCAAGUCGAACGAUGAAGCCCAGCUUGCUGGGUGGAUUAGUGGCGAACGGGUGAGUAACACGUGAGUAACCUGCCCUUAACUCUGGGAUAAGCCUGGGAAACUGAGUCUAAUACCGGAUAGGAGCGUCCACCGCAUGGUGGGUGUUGGAAAGAUUUAUCGGUUUUGGAUGGACUCGCGGCCUAUCAGCUUGUUGGUGAGGUAAUGGCUCACCAAGGCGACGACGGGUAGCCGGCCUGAGAGGGUGACCGGCCACACUGGGACUGAGACACGGCCCAGACUCCUACGGGAGGCAGCAGUGGGGGAUAUUGCACAAUGGGCGCAAGCCUGAUGCAGCGACGCCGCGUGAGGGAUGACGGCCUUCGGGUUGUAAACCUCUUUCAGUAGGGAAGAAGCGAAAGUGACGGUACCUGCAGAAGAAGCACCGGCUAACUACGUG
rnacentral:rRNA from 1 species